AAAUGAAUAGACGGGGGCCCGCACAAGCGGAGGAACAUGUGGUUUAAUUCGAUGAUACGCGAGGAACCUUACCCGGGCUCGAACGGUACGCGAACGAUCUAGAGAUAGAGAGGUCCUUCGGGACGCGUAUCGAGGUGCUGCAUGGUUGUCGUCAGCUCGUGCCGUGAGGUGUCGGCUUAAGUGCCAUAACGAGCGCAACCCUUGUUGACAGUUGCCAUCAGGUGAAGCUGGGGACUCUGUCGAGACUGCCACCGUAAGGUGUGAGGAAGGGGGGGAUGACGUCAAAUCAGCACGGCCCUUAUGUCCGGGGCGACACACGUGUUACAAUGGUGGGUACAGAGGGUAGCUACACAGCGAUGUGAUGCCAAUCUCGAAAACCCAUCUCAGUUCGGAUUGGAGUCUGCAACUCGACUCCAUGAAGUUGGAUUCGCUAGUAAUCGCGCAUCAGCCAUGGCGCGGUGAAUACGUUCCCGGGCCUUGUACACACCGCCCGU
rnacentral:rRNA from 1 species